rnacentral:lncRNA from 1 species
CAUUUUACUUAUUUAUAUCAGGUAAUGCGUGUUUCUUUUCUUUUCUUUUUUAAAGUUACAACAACUUUGUUAUUUAAUACUGAAACAUGUUUCUCAUUCCCUGUUAAUACAGUAAUUAGCCCAAAAUUCAAACAUUACAGAAAGAAAAAAGGGAAAAAGCAAAUGUCUCCCAAAACCAGCCACCAUCAGCAUUUUGUUGACGAUUCUUGCAUACCCAUCUCUUCCUCUACACUCACGCAUAUAUAAGUUUACAUAGUGGCAUCUUACUUCUUAUGCAUUUUGUUAUCUGACUUUUGAAUUCAACAGCAUGUCCUGGUGUUUGCAAGGUAGACAUCAUUAUUUUCAUUCAGGGGAGUUGAGAAAUUUAAGGCUCAGAGAGGUUGUGCACACCUUCCCAAGGUCAGUCAUUUUGCUACCAAGGGAGAAAAGCUAAAAUUUGAAUUUUAAUCUAACUAAUCCAAACCCAUGCUCUUUCCACACAAAGAAGUAACAUAGAGUAAUUGCAAAUUUCCCUUAAGAAAAAUUCAAUUGUACACAAAUUUACUUAUAUAAACCUUUUUAGCAACUUGUUUCCAGUACAUAUGAAUGGCAAGCUAGUCCUGUUGGGAGUAAUUUUAAAAAGAGAAACUGGGGUUUGGGAAUAGAAAGGGGAGGUAAAACAGAUGGCAAAAAAAGGAGAAGAUUUUGCACUGUGGCCUUGGGAAAGAUAAGGGAAGAUGAAGGGAAAUCAUUCCAACCUUAGAACUGUGCCUUUCUCUGAGGAGGGAGCCACAACGUGUUGAGGAGGGCAAAGCCGCAACAGGAGCCUAGGCGAGAAGUUAACAUUUGCAGACCUAAGCAAUCUAUUUCCAGGGGCGUUUCGGGAGAGAAGAGCACUAAAUACUUCCUCGGCAGAGAACAAUUGAGGGUCUCCAAUGCCUUUCCCAUCUCAGGCAGUCAAGUCUCUGCUUCUGACUCCACUGAAAAGACUGGAAGGAGCAUCAAAGAAGAGGAGCUCCAGCCAUAAAAUCAAAAAAGCAUGAAACAUUUGGUUGGAGGAUGAGAAAGACACAUAAAAAUUCUUGUUAGCAUGCAUAUUACCUUUAAUUAAUAUUUAUCUCUACCUUUAAACAUGCUUAUUAGCAUGCAUAUUGGAGUACAACAAAUUGGCAACCACCAGUUUUCAGGAGAGCUAUCUUGAAAAGUUUCAAUUAAGCUAAACAUGGCAAGGGAAAUAAAUGUACAUGUAUUAUUACUAAUUUAGUGUGAGAAAAGUCACCAACUGACUAUAUUUGGUGUUUAUUUCUGCAGUUAAAUUUUCCUUUUAGAAAUAUAUUUAUAGGAGAUUUUAUAUGAAUAUUUCUGACCUUUGUCUUCAUUCUAUUUUCCCCCUUAAGGUCUUCAUUUCCUCAAAAGUGAAUUCUCUCACCGCAGGAGUUUUCCAGAUCCUUUCUCACUUCCCUGUAUUAGCCAGCCACUUACACUGAAAUAAUGACAUGGAAGGACAGGAAAAGAUGGGACAACCUAUUUUCCUUUCAGCCCUUCCUUACUCAUUAGUAAGCCAAAGGUAGAAAGCACUAAUAAAAUGUGCUCAUAUUAAGAAGUGAAAGAAGAUAAAACAGUUGACCUAAUUCAGUGCUAGGUUUCCACUGUUCUGGUUAGAACAAAAUAUAUAUGUAUGCAUGAACUAACAAAUACAAUCUGUGAAGUUUUAGUGAUUCUGCACACAUGUUAAAUGUUCUUAUAUUUAAUUUAAAAUGGGCAUUGCACACUUGAUUUUCAAUCUAAGAUAUUCUAUCGCUAGUUUAUUACUUUGGGCAAGUUAUCUAAAAAUCUGUGAUCCUAUAUUCUGUCUUUAAAAUGAAAGUAAUAAUAUUUACUUUCCAGUGUUUCAGUGUGAAUAACUGAGAUACUCUAAGUAGUAGUUAUUGAUCUCAACAAUCAUUUAUUUGGCUUCUAAUAUAUGCCAGAGCAUUUGAAAUUCAAAAUAAAAUAUAGUUUCUGACCUCAAGAAAUUCAUCAUUCAAUGGAAGAGACAAGAUUAUAUACAUAUAAUUAGAAUGAGAUGUAGAAGUGCCAAUAGAGGUAGGUGCAAAACACUAGGGAAAAAAGAAAAGCAUCAUUCUGGUGGAUGGGUGAGGUUUCUCCAGGUAGACAAGAUGGGUAGUUGUUCCCAUCAGCAGGAAGGGCGGUGAAAAGACAUGAUGUGGUGCAGCAACAUGGCUCGCUGAACAGCCAAGAGGAGGUGGAAGAGGCAACAAGAAAUGGGCUCCAGGGCCUGAUCACAUUCACCUGGUUUCAGUCAUGGUAAGGACUGUCCCAGAUUUCAGAGCCUUCAAAGAAGAUCUUAACUCUAAAACCUGGGCAAAGUCUGGGAUAGCAGUUUGUGUGCCACCUCACUCUCCUGUCUCUUUCUCUCUGAAUAAACAUCUUUUAUCAGGAAGCCCAGCAGAACACAGUCAAGAAGAAGGCAGUAACCUCUCAAGACACUAAGACUUGAUUCAGUGAUGUCAAGAAGUCAAAAGGGGGUUUGUCAACAGAGAAAAGCCAUAGCUACCCUCCAAAUUCUGCUUCUCCUAUCUUGAUCAACAGCCAGCAGCAACACAUUGCAGAUAUAAUCUCAAGACCUUGUGGCAUGUACUUGUCACUACAUGCAUAACUUACUAUGGACAGAGGAUCACGGAGAUUUUGAACAUAAUUUCCCACACGACAGGAGAUUAAAUAGACCACAUUGGAAGAAGGCAAGAAGAAGCUAGGUCUCUGGAGUACCAAAAAGUAAACUUCAGCCAGUUCUGGAAGCAGAUAAACAGCAGGAAAUAUACUUUCAGAUGGGCUACUUUCUCAAUAGUUCUUGCUUGCAAGAGCUCUAGGGAAAGUAUGAGUUACUGGGAAUAUCAGACAUUAAUGAACCAAUAGAGAAGAUACUGGGGUGCAGAAGAGCUUUCCCAGUGUCCUGGGAGCCAUUCUACACAGCACCCUGCAGCAUGACUUUGGAUCUGCUGUGCUUAGUUUCUUUACUUGUGAAAACAGAGUAAUAGUAGCACCUACCUCACAGGAUUGUUCUGAAGAUUAGAGGGAUUCUUUCAUGGAAAGCUCUAGAGCAGUGCUUGAGAGAUGUAUUCCAGAUCAUCUCAACCCACUAUCCAACCAAACAUGGAGAGCAGAGCAGCCCCAUCUCAGUUAUGGUAGCAGAUGAAGCAACUCAG